UUGCCAUAACAAUAAUAAGAUUAAUCAUAUAUUCCCGAUUGUUGUCUUAGAUUCAAUAGAUUGUUGUCUUAUUGUCUAAGAGUCCAAACAAUACAUUUUUCCAAUGCUAGUGUAACCGAUGUCUUUCUGCGUUGUGUCUUGUAUCUUCGAAUGAGGCACACACAGGAGUCGAGUACUAGAGGUUUAUUCUUUCCAAAGGAGACAAAACAACACGGGCGUCACACACAAUCCGGGAUAUCACUCUCCACUCUACAAAACAAAGGAAGCAAACAAUUGACCACACAUACCGGAUAAAACAACCGCAUUUGAAAUAUCAAGGCGGGAAAAAACUAAGCUACCACCGGCUCAAGCUAGGUUACGAGUUAAUCAAAAUCCACCCUUCCAACAGUUCAAUUAAAUUGUCUAAAGCACCAGAGUUUCUCCCGCGUGCCUAAAAGCACGUCACAAAGCAGUGUGAACCACCACAGCCGUUCAAGGGCAACAAACAAGGGGUUAACAUAAAAAUCUAACGGAGAGAGACACAAACGGAACUCACCAGCUCCGUGCAUCAGCGCUCACUGACGCUAGACACACAGGUGCAACGCCAAACCACUCCCCCGGGAAACAAAAGGCAUGCCAUACGGAACAACGAAAUCAACUUACAACUAGGAACCAAUAUUUGGUGGAGUUCACAAUAAAAAAGGUAUGAACAAUGAUAAAAAAAUAACACAAAAUAAAAUUAAAUUUAGCUCGGCUACACUAGUAAGAGGCUUGUGACUUUGGCCGUUUGCUUUUAAUGUGAAAUCAGACAGGAAGUCAAAUGUACCUUCAGGUUCAACCCAUAGACAUAAUAAAGGUUCAACCUCAGCCUGGAAGAAGAGCCUUUUAUCUCUCUGAAACCGUCGAAUUCGAUGCAUAUUAAGGAUUUACCCGGAGCAAGUGGCGUGUACCGUAAGUAUUCAACAUUUGUCUUGAAAUAUUGCGUAAUAUAGCAUCAUGUAGUCGUUUAUUUAUGUUUUAAAACGGUCUGCUUGUUGACUGCUAGCCAAACGCACAUGUUACAUUAGUUAGUUAGCAUUAGCAUCCGCAGCAUUAGCAUCCGCAGCCUGCGGCAGAGCCCUGUCUACUCAUCUACUAUGAGUAGACAGGGCUCAGGUGCUGGCUUUUCAGGGUGUUUCAGCUGGUUGCAGCUAUAGAAUGUUAUAAGAAUAGAAUGUAGAAAAUGCUUAACAUCUAGCAAAAUGUAAAUGUGUUAUUCAGCUACCAACUUUGAAUGCAUCUGAUGUACCGGUAGUAUGAUUUAACUAAAACUGAAGUCAAAUCGAUCUCACUUUUUUAUUUCUCUGCAGUUUGAAAUGCCACAUAGAAUCAGUCCCCUCACAGAUGUCACCAUGUCGGUUUAAAGACUGACAAUACAUGGAAACUGGAGGUGAAGUACAUCAAUGCAGUAAAAGGGCGUGGGGUGUUCGCCAUAGGUUCAUUCUCCAAAGGAGAUUUUAUAGUGGAAUGCAGGGGAGAUUUGAUAAGCGAUGGUGAAGCUCAAAAGAGAAGAAGAAAUUAUAACCCUGCAUGUUCUGGAUUUUUGUUCGCGUUCAAGUUGGGAGGCAAAACAUGGUGCAUUGACGCCUCUAGAGAAGAUGGUUCCUUCGGCCGCUUGGUGAACGAUGACCACAGACAUCCCAAUGCCAGGAUGAAGAGAAUAGACAUUGCAGGAAGCACACACCUCUGUCUCUUUGCUCUCCAAGACAUAAAAGAAGGUGAAGAAAUUGCAUAUAAUUAUGGAGGAGAGGACUGCCCAAGCAGGUACGUGUUACAACUAGUGUUAAGGUAUAUACAAUUCAAGAAUGUCUUGGAAUAACUUAAUGAUUGAUGGUAUCUUUUCUUUGAAACUAUAUAAAUCAAUUUCAAUAAAUGAUCAUUUUUUCUAUUGUAUAUUAAAACAUUGGAUAUUCAGGAGGCAUCUGAAUCAGGGCCAAAUGUCACUGUAGUCUGGGACGUUCCCGACGUCCCCACAAUACAUCUUGUAUGGUUUUGUUUCAGUGAAACUUUAUGUUAAGUAUCUGAUAAAGGAGAACGUACAGGUGUGCGAAAUGUCCCUACUCAACACAGUUAAUUCAACAUGUGUGAAAUGUCCCCACGAGGCAUAGUCUAUGUGACAGCAGACAGGUUGACAAAGCAGGACAAAAUAUGACCAUAGAAUCCUUUCUCGCUAGUUUGGUGUGUGGGGAUGUAUUUGACCCAAGAGACAUGUCCUUUAGAAAAUGUAUUAAAAUAAUAUAAUAUUAUGCAGUGUUUACAUGAAAUUGACUGAUUUACUUUUUGUAUCAAAUUGCAGAUGACUACAUGUGAACCUGAGACGUCCUGUGUGAGCUCCCAGUCUGUGCUCAUGUCAGAGCCACAGUGGGAUGAAGCUGCCUGGUUAGAGGACACUGGUCACCAGAUGACUACAUGUGAACCUGACACACCCUGUGUGAGCUCCCAGUCUGUGCUCAUGUCAGAGCGACAAUGGGAUGAAGCUGCCUGGUUAGAGGACACUGGUCAACAGAAGAGGAAACUGUUGGAGGCACGGAGGGGGAAUAAAAUCCCAGCAAAACAGAGACGCAAACUGCCACCAGCAGAAGAUGGAGCAUCUUCUACAGUCUGUGCUGUGAGCCAUGUUCUUCCAAAGGCUGCAGGAAUCGGUCUGUUUCUUUUCUUUGUAAACUGACUCGAUUGCAGCUUUUCUGCACCACCGCCUGGUCUCGUCUGCUUUCUAGGUGAGGCGUAGUUCCUCUUGCGUGUUUCAACUAACCUAUUUGUUUGUCCCUGUGAUGACGUUAAUUUUCAUGGCUACUUGGAUGCAUGUUAAUGCAGGAGUCAACCAACAGACUGAGAGCGGAACACUCCAAUCAAUCAUUUUUUUUAUAGCACCUUUCAUAAAGUUAGUGCAGUUCAAAGUGCUUCACAGAUGGCUGAGAAAGCAGAUAAUAGGACAUAUAUUAAUUGAAGAUGAAAGAAAGAUUGCAGACAAAAGAAUUAUGACAAGAAAAUAAAAAUGUUAAAUAAGAAAAAGAAAGCUGCCAUAAUAUCGAAGACAUAAUGCUACUGUUGCUAAAAAACAAAAAUAAGGAAUUAAUAUUAUAGUCUCUAAAUGAAAGUGUGUGGCAUGUAAUACAAUAAAAAGUUUUUAGUUGACACUUUACAAUAAGGUGUACUAAUGAGCAGAUCACUGAGGAUUGUUGAUGCAGGACAUGAAACUUAUAGGAACUGUAUCUCCUUCCUGAUACUUUCAUGUAAACAUCUGUUUUUCUACUCAUUUACAGGAAAGGCUCCACUCAAAAGGGAACCAUGGCAGCCAGCAGAGAUAAAGGCCGUCGAGAGGCACAUAAAGGCUUAAGUUUAAUACAUGCUUGCACUGUGCCAAAAAUGUCUAACUAAACAAAAUCUGUAGGUGGCGAAGAAGUUAAAGCUGCGUCACGCUUUGAACUAAACACUUUUUCCAUCUAGUGUUGACUGGGUUUUUGGAUUGUCGGUGCCAUUAAAGUAGCAUUAAUAAUCGUCGUAAUAAUCCUAACGAUUAUUAAUGCUACUUUAACGGCAUAGACAUUCCAAAAACCCAGUCGACACUAGAUGGAAAAAGUGUAUAGAACAAAACGUGAUGCAGCUUCCCUUUUUUUCUUCGCAACCUACAGACUUUGUUAUGUACGAUUAUUCAAACACGCCAUGUUAUUUAAUAUAGACAUUUGACCGAGGGAACCGGAGCCUCAGAGGUCGAACUUAUUCUCUCGAGGUCUAUGUGACUUCCAUUUAUAUUGUGACUAUUCUGUAUCUUGAUGCCUCUUCCUGGCCCACAAGGAUACACCAGCAGGUUCUGACAUGUAUUAACCGCACUCUGAUGGCUCGAGUCUGUGCGUGAUGUGUGUCUAUGCUAAUGUGUGUAUGUGCUGGUAUACUUUAAAAUAAAGUAUCAAUGCAUCUAAUUCUCCAUCCGUCUCUGGUGCUAUUUACUGUGGACCCACACCUGUUUGGGAGAUCCCUCCCAUGUGUGAGGGUGGCAUCGAUGGUGUUGGUAAAAUAAAAACCCAUACACACACAUAGUGCACGGUAAUAUCAUGAAAUAAGUUGGUAUCACGCCACAUAUAGAUGGUGGAUGGCCAAGAGGAACAUUUGCAGAGGGCAUGGCCGCCCCUGGUUCCAGGGGCUCUCGGAAAUUGAGAGGUUAAAACACCUUGGCCCUCGGGCUAUACUCUACAAUUUUCAUUGUUUUAUGUACAAUCAGGUCCCCAUUAGUCACCAAAUAAUCUGUGUGAAAUAUUCUAAUUUAUGUAAAUUAUGUCCCCUGAAAGCAUGUUUACUGGUUCUUCCGGAAGUCCCCAUAAAGCCUGGUUAAACCAUCACUUCAUCAUUUCAGAGUUUUGAAGUUGUGUAUAGGUUAACUAAGCUAUGGCAAGUUUACUGAAUUUUUUUCAGCUCUCUACAACCUCUGGAAAGGGUGGUCCUCACAAGUGAUGA